AUAUUUGGUAUUUUUUGGCAUCAUUGUGCACAUUUGAAUGUUGGAUUCAACAGUGGUUUUGGGCAUAGAUUAGGCAUAUUUGAAUAUUUUAUUUGACACUGCCCUUCAAAAUUAUGGGGUCGGUAAGAUUUUUAAUGUUUUUGAAAAAAGUCUCUCACCAAGGCUGCAAUUAUUUGAUCAAAAAUACAGUAAAAACAGUACAAUGGUGAAAUAUUAUUACAAUUUAAAAUAACAGUUUUCUAUUUAAAUAUAUUGUCAAAUGUAAUUUAUUCCUGUGAUGCAAAGCUGAAUUUUCAGCAUUAUUACUCUAGUCUUAAGUGUCACGUGAUCCUUCAGAAAUCAUUCUAAUAUGCUGAUUUGCUGAUUAUUAUUAUUAAUGUUGAAAACAGUUGGGCUGCUUCAUAUUUUUGUGGAAAUGGUGAUACUUUCCUUUUUGAUGAAAAAGGUUCAAAUGAUCAUCAUUUAUUUGAAAUGGAAAUCUUUUGUAAAAUUAUAAAUGUCUUUACAGUCACUUUUGAUCAAUUUAAUGCAUGCUUGCUGAAUAAAAGUAGCCUUAAAAAAAUCUAUCACUAGUCUAUAUUUAGCUUCACACUUUGAAUAUAAACAUCAGCUACUAAAGUAACAGGAGAACAUUGUGAUCUCAGAUGUAGUAUAUUGCUCUGAGUCAUGUUAUUGUUAAUGAGUUUCUUCCUGUGUACAGUGUGAACCGUCACGUCUGCUGCUCAGCACGGGCUGCGUGUGUUGAACGUGGUUUCCCAACACUGUCUGUGCAUCUAGGGAAGAGAGCAUGGCACAUAUGGGAUUGAAACGGGUCAAAAGUAUCUGAUGCACACAACCACUACAGCACGUCUACAGUGAGUCCCGUUACCCCACAUACCCUCUCACCUCAUACGCAAGCAGCCUCCCCAGAGACACAGCAGUGAAGCUUUUUACUCCAUUUUAAGGAUUUGCUGGAAUUGGGAUGUUACUGAAAGUGAAAGACACAGGUUUCCUCGUUGUCUUUGUGAAACUUGGCAGACAGGAUUCAUCAUUUCGCCAGCAGCCCUGGAGUCAUUCACCGCUCACAUGAAGCAACUUGGACAAAAGUUGCAUCUCCUCUCCAGCCUCAUGAAUAUUCAUGUAUAGUGGAUGUCGAUAGACGACCGCUGGCCUUAAAUAGACAGAGCAUCUGAACACCCACUGAAACUCUGAGGAUAAACCUUAACAAGGACUUAUUAGGUUCGUCAACGUUUUACAAGUGAGUACAUUUUGUCUUAUUUAUAUAUAUAUAAUUUUUCUGCUUUGACGCUGUAAAAUUUGACAUGCACUUUAAGAAUGAUUGCAAUUUAAACAGUAAAAUACAAUUAAAAUGCUAUUGUUAAUUAUUAUUUAUUGUGUUAUUUAUUUAUUCAUUAUUUUUCUUACUCUAUAUGGUGAAAAACUGCAAUAGAUAUAAUGGACUAUUUAAUUUUACAGAAAAGUACUGUUAAAUGUAUUUAUACAAAUUCUUUAAGUGAAAAAGAACAAUUCAGAGCUCACAUUUGAUAGUUUUUCAGUGAAAAAUAUAUGUUGUUCAGUUAAUAAAACUGUUACAUCUUAUAUAUUUUAUUAUAUU
ensembl:lncRNA